AUCCGCCGUCUUCGUGAGGUCAGAAGUCGUAUACUGUCUUCGGAAGGUUGAAGGAGAUAAUCGGUCUCUUCAUCCAUUUCAAAAUCCCGCUCGUCCGAGCUCAAACUAACAAAACAUGCUGAGGACAAUUCUCACUAGUUCCUUUUUUUUAUGACCAUUGCAUUGCAUGUUACAUCACAUGAUAACGAAAUAUUACACCGUUUAAAUACAUAUACCCGUAUACGCAAACAGGUACGUACGUGUCCUGUGUAUCUUGCUUCAGACUCUGCUCAAAUGAAACCGUGAUUUCCGGCAGAUUAACAUAUUGCGUUUAUUUGUUUAUUUAACCAACAACUUCAACCAUUCAAAGUGGCACCGUCAAUUGACAUUUUACUCAGCGAUUCAAUUAUUCUGUUUAUUUACGAGAUCCGUGCGUACAUGCGACAUCCAUGCAUACAUGCUUCUUUCCACGUACGUACGUGUACGCAUCGCGAAAUAUUAUUCAAACGACAGUGACGUUCGAUAUCAAAUAUUCGAGUCAUUUCAAUACAGAAGGCAAAAAUAAAUUCGAAUUUAUCAAAAUUUCAAUCGAUCUUCGAACUAAUUGUUAAUCAACUGUGAUCGCGAUACCUCGAACUGGUAUUACAGUGCGUGCGGCCAUGUUAAGUACUCUAUGGUCAUGUGAUCCGGUUGUUUCGGACGCAUGCGUACACCGUUUGAAAUAAAUUUUGAAAUUGUUCAACGUAUUGUUUGCUACGCGUUAUGUUACGCGUGAUUUACACACGUAUAAGAAAUCAGUCUUAUUUAUUUCGUUUUACAUAUUUUUACUAACUUUGUUAAUCGGUACUUUAUUAUUACUAACUUUAUUAAUCAUUGCAAUUCGUUAUUCAAGUACAACUUCAUAAAGCAGUGCUAACGAUUCGAUCGUAUUUUUAAUUGUCUCGUUUUGACACGCUGCGCUGGCUAGGUUACGAAAAAGCUGCGUACAUAUUCCUUUUUCGUCCUGUUUCAUGAAACUAACAGUCAGGUAAAAUCUAUUACAUUUGCUUAAAGUGCAUAAAAUGUCGACAACGAACUCGAUGUUAUCGGGAAGUGAAGCAUUUCGGAAGCACGUAUCAAUUAUUUCGACGAACAACGACGAAGGAAUUUCAGUCUGAAAAAUUUUCUUCUGCAAGGUAUAUCUGAAAUAACCGAUUACAUACAUUUAUAUUCUAACCUCCAUCAAUUUAAUUAUUACGCACUCAUAAAUACAUAUCUUACCGUAACGUUUUGAGAUAAUAAAAUCUUUCUUUAUGAUCUUUAACUGUUUUCCAGAUUUGUACAAAUUGGGCGUACGUGGUGGGUGUUUCAUUUUGAAAAGCAUUAUCAUCGCAUUUACUCGAUAUUUUCGAAUGAUCUUCGGAUUGUUGUUGUAUUUCGUUUACUUUGUCAAACGAUGUUAUCGUGUUCAAACUAUUGGUGUGAACAAUGGGAUUCCAACAUUUCUUUAUUCUAGAUUUAAUAUCGUCACAUUUCAAAGGUUUUAAAUGGGCAGCAUUUACCUGGUAAUAGAAAAAAUAAAAAUUAUAUUAAAUGUUAAACAGGCAGAUAAGAGUAUUUUAAAUAAAAUACCAAUUGCUUACCAAUUGUCUGAAAUCUUCAUAGGUAGGUACUUUUUGCUCCACCGCUCUGAGUUUAGCAUCAUUUUGUAAUUUAUAUAACUCAUCCGCUCUAAGAGCCUCCAGAAGUUCUAGUUCCAUGUUUUUAUAAUUUAUAGGCGAUCUUAAUUUGCUCAUUUCUACAGGGUAGAUAGCUUUGAAAGUACUUUUCAGAUAGCAAGAUACACAAAAUAAGAAAUUUGCUAAGUCAACAAAUAUUUAUUAUUGAUCAUAGUAAAUGGUUCCUAUAGCAACUACCCAUGAGUACGAUUAUGUUGUAUCGAUAGGUAUGUAAGUACGUAUGUAUGAGUUUAUGCGUUUUUUGAGCAUCAAAGGUUUACAUAUGUAUGUAUGUAUGUA